GGAAGCGUGACAGUAGUGAAAAUAACAGCCAUCGUACUUGGUCAUAGUGAAAACGAUAAUCGUGAUAAGUGGUGGUGAUAACAGUGAUCAAAAGUAGAGCUAUUAGCAAUGGAAAUUAUAAUAAUGCUGUGGCACAGUAGUGAUAAUAAUAGUGAUAUAGCUAUUACUCACAAGUAGGCAGUACACCUGCUGUCCCAGCCUGGCCUGCGUUUGUUUGUGGGUCUCACGCGCUCUAUGGUGCUCCUGCCUGCAGGGGGCGUUGUAGCAGCACAUCGCCUGCAGGGUGACUCUCUAGCCGCGGCCUCACUUUCUAUGGUGCUGCGGUAGGGACGUUCUCUCACACGCGCAUAUCUAUGGUAGUGGCUUAUCCAAAGGGCGGAUCUCGCUCCCCCGGGCCGGCAGGGGGCGGAGUGAUUCCUGGCUUGACGCUCUAGCCAAGGGGCAUGUGUCCUUCCGCGGGGCUGGCCUGCUUCCGGCCUGGCCAAAGGCGGAAGUGUGCGGCGGGGUGCCAUGUAACUUCCGGAGAGGAGCGGGAGGAGGAGGCGCCGCCGCGCGGGGAGCCGGGCUGUGUCCGUCUGUUUGUUUGUCUGUCCGUGGAGCUCCGCCAGGGCUGCUGGGGCAUCCGCCCGCCCCUGUGUCAGGCGCUGUCUGUCCGUCCGUCGGUCUGUCUGUGGUCUCGGGCUCGCCCUGUCCAGGCUCGGGUCUGUCGGUCUCAGUCCGCCCCUGUGUCAGGCGCUGUCUGUCUGUCGGUCUGUCCUGAGUCUCAGGCUGUCCGUGUGUCCUGGGUGCUGGUCGGUGCAGGGCUGAGCAGUGCCUGGGUCCCCCCGAGGCUGGGAGAGGAGGCAGCAUGUCUGUGGCUGGGCUGAAGAAGCAGUUCUACAAAGCGAGCCAGGUGAGAGACCCAGAGACUGACACCCUUCGCGCUCACAUCUACAGCAGGUUAUAAUAAUAAUAAUUAAUUAAUAUAUGGAGAUAUACCUAUCUCAUAGAUCUGGAAGGGACCUUGAAAGGCCAUCACCUUCACUAGCAGGACCAAUUAUUUUUUGCCCAGAUCCCUAAAUGGCCCCCUCAAGGAUUGAACUCACAACCCUGGGUUUAGCAGGCCAAUGCUCAAACCACUGAGCUAUCCCUCCCCCCAAGAGAGGUUGCCCUCACCUCUCUUGCAUGUCCCCAGUUGUGGCAAGGUUGGCAAACGUUGGCUAAGUUUGGGAAGUCUUGUGCACGGAGCCUCAGGGACCUGUGUUGCCAGACUCAUAUUGACACUCAGAGGUGUUGCCUCUGUUAUCAGACACUUGCAUGCCUACAUGGCCUCCUCCACAGAUCCCUUACAGUUGCACCCUCAGAAAGUCUUCCCCCGUUGCACCUUUGGACACUUGCACUCACACGGUUUCUGGAGCUUCAGGGUUCAGCUAACAUGGUGCCCUUUAAUUCCUGGCAUCAUCAUUUGCCCCCGUUCAGAUUUCUCUGCU
rnacentral:lncRNA from 1 species